CUCCGGUUGAUCCUGCCGGACCUGACUGCUAUCGGAUUGGUACUAAGCCAUGCGAGUCGUUGUAGCAAUACAAGGCGGACGGCUCAGUAACACGUAGUCAACCUAACCUAUGGACGUGGAUAACCUCGGGAAACUGAGAAUAAACCGCGAUAGAUCAUUAUGCCUGGAAUGGCUUAUGGUUCAAACAAUUUAUUGCCGUAGGAUGGGACUGCGGCCUAUCAGCUUGUUGGUGAGGUAAUGGCCCACCAAGGCUAUAACAGGUACGGGCUCUGAGAGGAGAAGCCCGGAGAUGGGUACUGAGACACGGACCCAGGCCCUAUGGGGCGCAGCAGGCGAGAAACCUUAGCAAUGUGCGAAAGCACGACUAGGUUAAUCCGAGUGAUUUCUGUUGAAGAAAUCUUUUGUCAGUCGUAAAACCACAGACGAAUAAGGGGUGGGCAAGUCUGGUGUCAGCCGCCGCGGUAAUACCAGCACCUCGAGUGGUCAGGAGGUUUAUUGGGCCUAAAGCAUCCGUAGCCGGCUACGCAAGUCUCCGGUUAAAUCCAGCUGCUCAACAGAUGGGCUGCCGGAGAUACUACAUAGCUAGGGAGCGGGAGAGGUAGACGGUAUUCUGUGGGUAGGGGUAAAAUCCACUGAUCCAUAGAGGACCACCAGUGGCGAAGGCGGUCUACCAGAACGCGUUCGACGGUGAGGGAUGAAAGCUGGGGGAGCAAACCGGAUUAGAUACCCGGGUAGUCCCAGCUGUAAACGAUGCAAACUCGGUGAUGCAUUGGCUUAUGGCCAAUGCAGUGCCGCAGGGAAGCCGUUAAGUUUGCCGCCUGGGAAGUACGGACGCAAGUCUGAAACUUAAAGGGAAUUGGCGGGGGAGCA
rnacentral:rRNA from 1 species